CUGGUGCUUAAUUGCUGGCUGGGGUUAAACCCCGACAAUAAGAUGAAAGGUCUGUAUAAAUUUUUAGCCUUUUGCCAUAGACAGAAACAGGCCAGGAGGCAAAACUGGCAGGAGCAGGACAUUAAAUACACACACUUCCAGAGUAUCAUCAGUUACGCAACCCACGAUGGUGGGGAGGGGAAAUCCCAGCAAGUUCCUAAUCCCAGAGGCAUGUAAGGGCACAAGCAACAUGCCAGGAGAGGAACCAUCGAGGGGGGAAAAGCAAGCAACCCAAACUUUCCAUGCCACCUCUCGUGGUGCUUCCAGGAGGGGUUUUCUUUUUGGCCAGAUGCAGCUCUGUUGCAAAGCCAAGGAGUGCAAAGCUAGCAUGGAAAAAAUAGGUCAGUUUAUGACUGCUUUAGUAAAUGAGACUCAUUGCAGCCAUGAUGCUGGGGAGGAGUUUGUCCCCACCAUGCUGACCAGCUUUCCUCGCCAGUGAUGUCUUUUUGCAACGCGAUCUAUGGGCAGAUGUGACUCACAGGCAACAGGAUCCUGCCGGUACCUGCCUGCUGGUGGGAGGCUCCAGUGAGAGACUAUUGAAAGGUGGUUUGGGGGGGAAAGCAGCAAAUAAGGCAAGUCUUUUUCUUGCUGUGUUUCAAAGACAAAGCUAGAUCCUUGAGGAAGCAGAUUAGCCAAAGUAAUUUAAUAUCUAUUUCUCUUCUGCACGAAGCAGCAACUGAAAUAUAAAAUAUCGGAGGUGGUACAUACCCUCCUUCUCUUUACUCUUAGACAACUGUCUUAAAAAAGGCUGUAAAUGUUCAUCCAGCUGCUACAAUCUGAUUAGGAGUGUAAUAACCUUUGCUCAUGUGCUAGCUGCUAUUCCAGGCAGGGACACACGUAAGCUCCUUACGGAUGGGAGGGACCCGGACCCUCCCUCACCGCAGGCUGAUGCCUUCCCAAUGAGGCACUGCGUCUUUAGAAGAUAACCUGCAUGGGACACAGCUCCCAAAAAUGUGCCUUUGACCCCUCCCAGGGUUGGUGGCAUCACCCAGGUGUGCUAGAAGGUAUAUAUUUUUCUUUUAUAUAUGUAUAUAUGUAUGUUCCUGGUCUUCACCUUGUUUAUUCACGUGAGAAUGAAUCGAGCUUUUGCACCCCAUGACCUGGUUUCUAACUCACAUGCUCCACAACGAUGAGAUGAUUAAACCCAACUCAUCACAAAAUGGUCGUGCAAAUCCUCUUAGCUGAGCCGGGGAGCUGCUGAUGGGAGAAAGCUUUACCAUUGCCUGCGUGGGAGCAAGAACAAGCCAAUAAUCGCUGUCUGGUGUGAGGAGAAGCCCUGGGAGAGACAAGGCUGCUCUGAAGAUGCUCAAGAUGCUCAUGCAGAGUUGUCAUGGGCACGAUGCUCUCCGUAGUCAUCUCCAUGGCUACCUCAGCACUGAGCAGAGGGGAUGCAAGCGGUGUAGGAACGGCGUUGUUAGCUUAAAUGCUGCACGGUCUCUCUCAGCUGGUGUAAAUAAGUAAUGCUUGGGAUCAUCCAAGAGGUUUAUCUUCAGGGAUGAUGGCUGGUUUUUAGCCGGAGCUUGAAGGCAGCUGAGAUUGCAAAUGUGUUUGUUUAUGAAAAACAGAUUUGUAGCAUCUCCCCUAAAGUAUUUCUACAGUGGAUGCACUGGGGUACAAGUGCAUGAUGUACUUAGAUGAGGCUCAGGUUUUUUAACUCGCCCUUAGCCAAUGCGAUUGAAAAACCCAGAUAAUGUUCCUGCUUCUGACCCAAGAUUAUGCUAUUGGAGUGGCUACCUUAAGAAAAGAGGGCUGUGUAUAGAUAAGGAAGUUCAUAUUUCAGCAGGGUGUGGAGAAGGAAGCAUUUUGAAAUAAGGUUUUUUCCCUCAGCUAACAAUUUUUUUGUAAACAACAGUGAAGAUUAUGCACAAUAGGACCAUCUAGUUAAUACAGUCUGGAACUGAGGUGUCCUAGCGUUAGGGACUGAGCAGAGAUGCCGGAGCCGACAACUCCCCUAAAGGAUUUCUCCUUAAUUUUAUCUCCUUAACUUUUCCAAAGCAACUCCCAAUACAGUGCAAACACUGUGGCUCACAGCCUGAAUAGAGAAAGCUGGGACAAUAAAAGUCAUGGUAAAUCUGUGCAGAGGGCUUGAAUUACAGGGAAGAAGCCCACAGGCUUUUCAGGGCUUGGGGGUGCCGCGAUCUCCGUGCUACCAAGAGCAAAAAAACAGAGGUGUCAAGUACAGGCUGCAAAGCAUUUUAUCUAUCAAUGCUUCGAGGGGAUGGAGGUUAAUAGUUCAUAAGAUGAUGAACAUAAAACCUUGCUAUGAGCCCACGUGCGGGAUCAGCACCGGAGGACAAACCUCAGCUUGGGCAAUGGUGUUUUGCUCCAGUGACAGGCAAAGAGAUUUUUUUUUUCUCUCUACAAUUACCCCUAAAGCUGCGGCUCAUUAAACUAUACAACCCUAACGUGCCCUUUCCCCAGCAGCUCCAGUGACCUUGGCCCCGGGCUUGUUUUUCAGUGCAUUUCUCAGCAAGGCUCUAGGGAGGGAAUAAUGAUCAAAAUACAGAAACCAGAGGAAAUCAGUUUUGCAUUUGCAGUGGCAUGUCAGGACACGCUGUUUAUCCUGAGCCGGAGUGGACCGGGCAAAUCAUUCACACCGGGCUCGGUGCAAGGAGGCUUCCUGCAAGCAAAGCCCCAUCUGCAGCUGUUAAAUAGCAAAUAAUAAUGAGCACUAAUAUUACAACACAGUUUAUUUUUCCCAGGGUGUUUUAUUGUCCGUAUUCUGGCCUGAAACAUCUGUGCCAUCCAAAAUAUUUUUGUGGUAUCAAUAAUCCAAGGAGCUUGUCAUGUUAAAAAUAGAGGAAGCUGGAGCAAAGCCUCUGGGACUUGAUUUCUCACAAAGUGUAGCCUGUUUGGGAGCUUGGGUUCUUCUGCUAAGGAUUCAUUAGGUAAUCUGUUGCUCAAAAAAAAAAAGGAAAGUUUGACAAAAUUACAUCAACUCCUUGGCUGAGAUGAAAUGAAAUAAAGCUGAGAAUUGGUGUCUUAUUGCUCCCUCACUAAUCAUUGGAGCUCUCCUGCACAAAUAGCUUUAAAAUGAACGUUUUGGGGACUGGGAUGGGAAUGAAGUUUUGAACUGCUCUUCACGGCAGCUGUUUUGUAUUUAAGCUUUCUGAGUUGUUUUCAGAGAAUGAUGAGAAAGGCAGAUGGAGGAGGUUGCAGAUCCUUUUUCUGGAGAAAAAAGGGGGUUGGCAUCCCUUGAAAAAUGGGGAGAGAAAAAAAGAAAGGAAAUGAAAUAACAAUAGUAAACCUGGAUACUAUUUUAAGUCCAGAAAUAGGCUGAUUCUGGCAGAAUUGGCUGCUAAUACUUUUCCUGCAUUUCUCCUUAGUUCUGGGAAUAGAGAAGAACAACUUAUGUCUUGAAAUAGGUAUUGGUGGAGAACUGCACCUGGGCUGAGCAGAGGUCCUGGCUCUCCACCACAGACCCAACCCAGCAAGGGAGAGCCGACAAUUCCACUGCCCUCCAGCCCUUUGAAUUAUUGAUCUCGUAUGUAUUAAUUAUAGACACUUCUCGAGGUCAGUAGGUAGAGCACGAGGAAGGUGUGCCGGGUCAGGUGUCGCAGGAGUUGAAUUUCAAGAGAGGAGGAUUUGAGAAGGGAAGUGGUUUAAUCAAUACCAGUUUAGUUAAGUCCUUAUAAGUGCACAGAACACGGAUCCCAGACAAAUUGAGAUACCCACUUUUCGUAAAAAAAAAAAAUACCACAUCCAGGAGCUGGAAAUGAGCUAAUUUCAGUCUUUAAUUUAUCAAUACAAGUAAUCAAGCAGGGGGAAGGUGUGUCAGCCUAUGAGAGGGGGUCCCUUUGGGGAGGGAUUGGAGAUAAUCAUAAACCAUGACCUUGCUUUGGGUGAGGAAUCAUUAUCCAGCUUGCCCUCGUUUUUGGUUUGGUUUUUUUUUUCCUAAAAAAUAAAGUGCCCUUCAAUUGGUUUAGGACAAUUUUCAGGAUUAUUUGUUGGUGGUUUACUACUAACUCAGAGAUGCAACUGCUCACAUUUUUAAUCCACCUACCUCCCAGGCAGGGAACAGAGAUAUUGCAGCGGUGACGAUGCGCGUGUAUAAAACAUAUCUAUUUGGGGGUGAAUUCCUCUGUUAUUCAUUACUUACCUCUGUGCUUAGCUGCUAUUUAUUGCGACCCAGCUACAAGAAAUAACUUUAGGAAGAAGAGCCAGCUGAAUCCAGCUCGUUUGUUUGCAAACCUGUAUCAUUUUUUAAUCAAUGGAUCAGCUAAACAAAUAUUACUGCAUUUAUAUCACUUACCAUUUAAGUAGAUAAUCCCUUUGCUCUUCUGCACCACAUAGUGGGUAUUAUGUCAUUUAAAAUGUAGUACUACUGUUGAGAGCGUGUUAUAAAAAUGAGGCAGACCUUUCCCUUGUAAUUAUCUCAGAAUUUUGUGACUGUAAGCCUUCAAAAUAUACCUGGCUGGGAGCAGAAGAGUCGUGGAUGUAUUUUCUGAUUGACUCCCAGGUACCAACCUGACUUCUCCACACCCCUGCCUUUCCCCACCACCAACCUUCCUCUGACCACAAAACACUCCAUUUUAAAGCUGAUUUUUGCAGAUGACACCACCGGAGCAUUUCCAGAUGGGCUGAGGACAACCCUGGGCAUGGGGGUUCCUGCAGAAAUCCUCCUUUGGGCUUCAGCUCCCCAAAUCUCUUUUGCAAAAAGCCUUUGCAAUGCUGACCUCUGCAGGCAAAUACUGCAUA